rnacentral:rRNA from 1 species
CAGCAGCCGCGGGAAUACAGAGGGUGCAAGCGUUAAUCGGAAUUACUGGGCGUAAAGCGCGCGUAGGUGGUUUGUUAAGUUGGAUGUGAAAUCCCCGGGCUCAACCUGGGAACUGCAUCCAAAACUGGCAAGCUAGAGUAUGGUAGAGGGUGGUGGAAUUUCCUGUGUAGCGGUGAAAUACGUAGAUAUAGGAAGGAACACCAGUGGCGAAGGCGACCACCUGGACUGAUACUGACACUGAGGUGCGAAAGCGUGGGGAGCAAACAGGAUUAGAUACCCCAGUAGUCCCUGUCUCUUAUAC